UCCUCUUUACAGAACUCAACCUCGCCUUUUCGGCUUUCACGAUCUGCAAAAGUGAUGUCGUUAUGUCUUCACCUUCCCUGUGGUUCAAUGUAUUUCUUUUAAUUCAGGAUUAAUUGUUAAUCACAGUUAGGAUCUUGACGCCUUCCUUUCCUUCCCCGUGAAAUCAUAUAUAUCAGCGGAUUGAGAACGAACCACUGUCUCGCGCACUCAACCUUUGACUCGGUAGAUCUUCCCAGAUCAUUGUUGGUCGCCUGAUCCAUGUUUCUGACUCGAAAAACAUCAAGCAACAAGGUGAAUUCAUGGGAAUCACUCUACUCCUCCAAAUCAAGCCUCCAUGUCCCAUGACUGAUAUCACGGCAGGAUUGUCUCUGCAUAUUUACUUUGAAUGUUAAAUUUGGCUGGACAACACUCGGAUGUCCGCGAGAGCUCGAGUCUCACUGUCAGGAAACAUGUAUAGGUUCUAAAUAGAGAUUCAUAACCAACAUGAUGAAACGGAAGCAAAGUUCUUGAGGAGAAGGCAGCUCUCUAGAAGCUAAAUAUCAAAAGUUAUAGCAGUCUUUCUAUACCAAGCGAUAUGAGAUUGUGACCGGUGUGGUUGGAGUUGAAGAUUAACCUAAAGAAGUAAAAAGAGCCUGGAGAAGAUAAAGUGUUAAGUCCCUUAAAUCUUUUUUUUUUUAAGGCCGAAGCUCUAAAUCUGCAACAUUAAACGCAGAAUUCAAUACUGGUUCCAGACAGAAGGUUGGACAAUGGAUGGACAUUACAGGUCACUGAUAUACAUGAGGCCUCUCGCAAUACGGGGAAUGCAGUGGGCAUUGUCGCUGCAAAAGGCAAUCCUUGAUACUCCUAAGAUCAACAUGAUGGCCAGAGUUCACAUGUCCCCUAUGAGCCGCAUAUUCUCUCACAACUCCAAAGUUGUAACACACCAAGCGGCAUAAGCUAAAUAAGGACUUGAUAUGGAAUCUCUUUCCAGAGUAGAGAGUGAAGUUAGGGAGGAAUUAGCACAAACACCAUGACAACGAGAGCUCUGAGUUCUUUUUCUCACUUCAUGGCAAUGAGGCUUACCCACUUUGCGUUUCAAAAUUUUCUGCAAGUUGCAAUGAAGCCUAAGCUGGAAGCAGUGUUAUUUCGAUUUCAUUAAAGAAGAAGCUGGGCGGCUAUUUAGACCAUUGCAAACAAUCCUCUGGUACUACCUCAAGGACCAUAGCUACACUUUGUACAACGCAGAAAUCUAGAAUUAUACAUUUUUUUGGUAAACUUAUUUAUAUACAUUUGUUUGGGUUUAACUCGAACGUAAGUAAUUUACAUACAUAUAUAAAUAUUAUUAUUGCAUCGUUUUAAACAAUUUAAAAUUC